GGCUCAGGAUGAACGCUAGCGGCAGGCUUAACACAUGCAAGUCGAGGGGUAUAGUUCUUACGGAAUUAGAGACCGGCGCACGGGUGCGUAACGCGUAUGCAAUCUACCUUUCACAGAGGGAUAGCCCAGAGAAAUUUGGAUUAAUACCUCAUAGUAUAGCAGUUUCGCAUGAAACCACUAUUAAAGUCACAACGGUGAAAGAUGAGCAUGCGUCCCAUUAGCUAGUUGGUAAGGUAACGGCUUACCAAGGCAACGAUGGGUAGGGGGUCCUGAGAGGGAGAUCCCCCACACUGGUACUGAGACACGGACCAGACUCCUACGGGAGGCAGCAGUGAGGAAUAUUGGACAAUGGGCGCAAGCCUGAUCCAGCCAUGCCGCGUGCAGGAUGACGGUCCUAUGGAUUGUAAACUGCUUUUAUACAGGAAGAAACACUACUUCGUGAAGUAGCUUGACGGUACUGUAAGAAUAAGGAUCGGCUAACUACGUG
rnacentral:rRNA from 1 species